GAUGAACGCUGGCGGCGUGCCUAAUACAUGCAAGUCGAGCGAACAGACGAGGAGCUUGCUCCUCUGACGUUAGCGGCGGACGGGUGAGUAACACGUGGAUAACCUACCUAUAAGACUGGGAUAACUUCGGGAAACCGGAGCUAAUACCGGAUAAUAUAUUGAACCGCAUGGUUCAAUAGUGAAAGACGGUUUUGCUGUCACUUAUAGAUGGAUCCGCGCCGCAUUAGCUAGUUGGUAAGGUAACGGCUUACCAAGGCGACGAUGCGUAGCCGACCUGAGAGGGUGAUCGGCCACACUGGAACUGAGACACGGUCCAGACUCCUACGGAAGGCAGCAGUAGGGAAUCUUCCGCAAUGGGCGAAAGCUUGACGGAGCAACGCCGCGUGAGUGAUGAAGGUCUUCGGAUCGUAAAACUCUGUUAUUAGGGAAGAACAAAUGUGUAAGUAACUAUGCACGUCUUGACGGUACCUAAUCAGAAAGCCACGGCUAACUACGUG
rnacentral:rRNA from 1 species